CGGGGACGAGUUCGACGGUAGAAUGCUCGCUUUGGGAGCGAGAGGCACCGGGUCCAAUUCCCGGGUCCCCGA
rfam:Microgenomates (Woesebacteria) bacterium GW2011_GWA1_41_13b TT42_C0003, whole genome shotgun sequence.